rnacentral:rRNA from 1 species
GAUGAACGCUGGCGGCGUGCCUAAUACAUGCAAGUCGAGCGAACAGAUGAGGAGCUUGCUCCUCUGACGUUAGCGGCGGACGGGUGAGUAACACGUGGAUAACCUACCUAUAAGACUGGGAUAACUUCGGGAAACCGGAGCUAAUACCGGAUAAUAUAUUGAACCGCAUGGUUCAAUAGUGAAAGACGGUUUUGCUGUCACUUAUAGAUGGAUCCGCGCCGCAUUAGCUAGUUGGUAAGGUAACGGCUUACCAAGGCAACGAUGCGUAGCCGACCUGAGAGGGUGAUCGGCCACACUGGAGCUGGGACGCGGUCCAGACUCCUGCGGGAGGCAGCAGUAGGGAAUCUUCCGCAAUGGGCGAGAGCCUGACGGAGCAACGCCGCGUGAGUGAUGAAGGUCUUCGGAUCGUAAAACUCUGUUAUUAGGGAAGAACAAAUGUGUAAGUAACUAUGCACGUCUUGACGGUACCUAAUCAGAAAGCCACGGCUAACUACGUG